rnacentral:rRNA from 1 species
UGGGGAAUAUUGCGCAAUGGGGGAAACCCUGACGCAGCAACGCCGCGUGAAGGAUGAAGGUUUUCGGAUCGUAAACUUCUUUGAUGAGGGACGAACAAAAUGACGGUACCUCAAAAACAAGCCACGGCUAACUACGUGCCAGCAGCCGCGGUAAUACGUAGGUGGCGAGCGUUGUCCGGAAUUACUGGGUGUAAAGGGCGUGUAGGCGGGGAUGUAAGUCAGAUGUGAAAUUCCAUGGCUCAACUGUGGGGCUGCAUCUGAAACUAUGUCUCUUGAGUGCCGGAGAGGGAAGCGGAAUUCCUAGUGUUGCGGUGAAAUGCGUAGAUAUUAGGAGGAACACCAGUGGCGAAGGCGGCUUUCUGGACGGUAACUGACGCUGAGGCGCGAAAGCGUGGGGAGCAAACA